GAUCCUGGCUCAGGAUGAACGCUGGCGGCGUGCCUAACACAUGCAAGUCGAGCGGCAGCGCGAGUAGUUUACUACUUGGCGGCGAGCGGCGGACGGCUGAGUAACGCGUGGGAACAUACCCCAAAGUGAGGGAUAACUGCCCGAAAGGGUAGCUAAUACCGCAUAUGAUCUUCGGAUUAAAGGAUUUAUCCGCUUUGGGAGUGGCCCGCGUCGGAUUAGGUAGUUGGUGAGGUAAUGGCUCACCAAG
rnacentral:rRNA from 1 species